rnacentral:rRNA from 1 species
GAUGAACGCUGGCGGCGUGCCUAAUACAUGCAAGUCGAGCGAACAGAUAAGGAGCUUGCUCCUUUGACGUUAGCGGCGGACGGGUGAGUAACACGUGGGUAACCUACCUAUAAGACUGGAAUAACUCCGGGAAACCGGGGCUAAUGCCGGAUAACAUUUAGAACCGCAUGGUUCUAAAGUGAAAGAUGGUUUUGCUAUCACUUAUAGAUGGACCCGCGCCGUAUUAGCUAGUUGGUAAGGUAACGGCUUACCAGGGCAACGAUACGUAGCCGACCUGAGAGGGUGAUCGGCCACACUGGAACUGAGACACGGUCCAGACUCCUACGGGAGGCAGCAGUAGGGAAUCUUCCGCAAUGGGCGAAAGCCUGACGGAGCAACGCCGCGUGAGUGAUGAAGGUCUUCGGAUCGUAAAACUCUGUUAUUAGGGAAGAACAAAUGUGUAAGUAACUGUGCACGUCUUGACGGUACCUAAUCAGAAAGCCACGGCUAACUACGUG